rnacentral:rRNA from 1 species
GACGAACGCUGGCGGCGUGCUUAACACAUGCAAGUCGAGCGGUAAGGCCCUUUCGGGGGUACACGAGCGGCGAACGGGUGAGUAACACGUGGGUGACCUGCCCUCAGCUCUGGGAUAAGCCCGGGAAACUGGGUCUAAUACCGGAUAUGACUCCAUGACGCAUGUUGUGGGGUGGAAAGCCUUGUGCGGCUGAGGAUGGGCCCGCGGCCUAUCAGCUUGUUGGUGGGGUGAUGGCCACCAAGGCGACGACGGGUAGCCGGCCUGAGAGGGCGACCGGCCACACUGGGACUGAGAUACGGCCCAGACUCCUACGGGAGGCAGCAGUGGGGAAUCUUGCGCAAUGGGCGAAAGCCUGACGCAGCGACGCCGCGUGAGGGAUGACGGCCUGGUUGUAACGUACUU